AUCAAUGAUCUGAAGUCAAGUGGGAUUACCGAUCUGAAGUCAAGUGGGAUCGCUGAACUUAA
rnacentral:rRNA from 1 species